rnacentral:rRNA from 1 species
CCCUUAGAUGUCCUGGGCCGCACGCGCGCUACACUGACAUGUUCAACAAGCCUCCUAGUUCGACAGGAUUUGGGAAAUCUUUGAACGCAUGUCGUGAUAGGGAUAGAUCAUUGCAAUUAUUGAUCUUGAACGAGGAAUUCCUAGUAAACGCGAGUCAUCAGCUCGCAUUGAUUACGUCCCUGCCCUUUGUACACACCGCCCGUCGCACCUACCGAUUGAAUGUUCCGGUGAGCUCUUCGGACUGCGCGGUCUGCAGUUUCUGCGUUCCGUGCGGAAAGUUGCGCAAACCUUAACAUUUAGAGGAAGGAGAAGUCGUAACA